GAUGAACGCUGGCGGCGUGCCUAAUACAUGCAAGUCGAGCGAACGGACGAGAAGCUUGCUUCUCUGAUGUUAGCGGCGGACGGGUGAGUAACACGUGGAUAACCUACCUAUAAGACUGGGAUAACUUCGGGAAACCGGAGCUAAUACCGGAUAAUAUUUUGAACCGCAUGGUUCAAAAGUGAAAUACGUUCUUGCUGUCACUUAUAGCUGGAUCCGCGCUGCAUUAGCUAGUUGGUAAGGUAACGGCUUACCAAGGCAACGAUGCAUAGCCGACCUGAGAGGGUGAUCGGCCACACUGGAACUGAGACACGGUCCAGACUCCUACGGGAGGCAGCAGUAGGGAAUCUUCCGCAAUGGGCGAAAGCCUGACGGAGCAACGCCGCGUGAGUGAUGAAGGUCUUCGGAUCGUAAAACUCUGUUAUUAGGGAAGAACAUAUGUGUAAGUAACUGUGCACAUCUUGACGGUACCUAAUCAGAAAGCCACGGCUAACUACGUG
rnacentral:rRNA from 1 species